UACGGCGGGGGCUAGCGUUGUUCGGAAUUACUGGGCGUAAAGCGCACGUAGGCGGUCGCGCAUGUCAGAUGUGAAAGCCCCGGGCUUAACCUGGGAAUUGCAUUUGAAACUGCGCAGCUAGAGGCCGGAAGAGGGUAGUGGAAUUUCCAGUGUAGAGGUGAAAUUCGUAGAUAUUGGGAAGAACACCGGUGGCGAAGGCGGCUACCUGGUCCGGUUCUGACGCUCAGGUGCGAAAGCGUGGGGAGCAAACAGG
rnacentral:rRNA from 1 species